rnacentral:lncRNA from 1 species
AUAAUGCAAGCCCUUGCAUGGCAAUCCAAAUUUAUUGAACUACUGAUGCUAAGUUAUACAAAAUUGCACCACUUUAAUUAAGGCUUUUAGUUUACAUUUGGCCACCUCAAAGUAGUUGUAACAUUAGGUUGGUCAAUUUAAAUACUGUGGCUCCCUGUUGGAUAGACACACAAUCUUUACAUCCAAACAUUAAUGCAUACAAAGCAACAAGGCAUUGUUAAAUAAAACAGCAAUAGUUACUGCAAAUUAGGCCUUGUGACCAAUUACAUAUGAUUAAAAUUACUUCCCACAUUCACAUCCACAGUACUCGUCCACCAUUUAACAUCUCAACCAAAACGUUACACAUGUGAAACAAUCACUAACAGGCAAAAAUACUAAACCUGUAUAUUUGGUAUUGCAAAUACACUUAUGCAUGAGCAAGCAAGGGAUUCACAGUGAGAAUCUACAGCUGCAGAAGCCUGAAAAUGAUUUACAAAAAUUGUUAAAUCAUUAAAAAAUUGUUUGAAAAUAUACACUUCUUGUUGUAGACCCCCACUGUACACACGACUAUAAACAUUGUUCCCUAUGUAAACAAAAAAAGGAAACAUAUAAUAAGAGAUUUGAAAAGUCUGGACAUUUCCUUCCCAACAGAUAUUAAAGGCAACGUCUUUAAUCUAAGACAUUAUACUGAAAGGACUAUCAUGUUUUAAAGACAAGAUCACCGUCUCCACAGGUUUUUUAAAAAUUAAAAAAACUAUAUAGCUGUGUUAAUCAAAGCGCUUAUUUUGUACAAUAAUAAUGACCUUGAAUUUCUUAAAAAAAAUUACAAUAAGCUACAAGUAUCAAAGAAGCGAAGUUAUCUGGAGUAGUCUAUAUAGGAGCUCUUUGGACUUUCUUUUAUUAUGCUAAAAUAGUGGUGCUUUUAGGAUUUACAUUAUUGUACUCUCCAAUACAAAGUAUGGGGCAUGUUAAAGUAUACAGUACACCAUUUUCAUACAUGUACAACAUUGGUGGAUGAAGAAUGUCUCUUAGCAGUAAUACUGGAUGUAGCCUCUGGUUUUACCAGCUGCAAACUCUAGGACUAUUAUAUAAGUAAAAAUCUCUCUUGUGAUACUGGAAAGUGAUUAGAAUGUGCAAACUGAUAUAGUAGCUUUCAUCCGCCUCUUAAAGGGUACCACCACAGGAAAGUCCAUUUAAGAUGUUGGUAGGUUUAACAAAGUUGGAAUGCUGGCACUGUUGAAUUGGGCAACAGUUCUUCAGACCUGUCAAAAGGAAAAAAAUUAAUUAAAAACAUGGGCUAGAAAAAGUAAAGACCCAAAAGCAAACAGUUAAGAAAACAGUCUUAAAAGUGUUAGAAAUGAAUAUAAUCUAGGCUCUUGUUCUAGGCAUUACAUUAGUGGCAACAUACCACAAUUCACGGCAGACCUUUUCAUUCCAAAAAGAUGAAGUCUAUUCUGCUGCCCUCUUGAAAGUCAGUUAAAUGAAAAUCUUAGGAACAGAAAGGGAAAGUACCUUUGUGCAAAUUUUUGUGCAUUACCUUCCAAGGAUUAAAAAGGAAAAAAAUCACAUUAAAAUUGUUAGUCAAGUCAACCUUAUUAGAAUUAGGAUUGAAAAGUCAGAUAGCAAUAUUAACAAACUGGGUGAUCCUGUGUUUACACAAUCGUAAUGUACUCCUAGAAUUAGAUCAUAAGUAUAGAAUGCACAUCUAACCAAGGUUUCUAGUAUCAGAUAAUCAAGUUCUUCCUCACUCUUUCAAUGAAAGUGGCUAAAAAGCUCGUUCAGAGCAGACAAAUAGAAUUUAUUUCAUGAUGGUGUUUUACAGAUUUACAAUCACGUUAUAUAAUUUCUAAUUCCAUAUUUAAACAUUCUAUUAAGACUGAUGUCAGAAAAAGGUGGUAUUACACUAAAAUCACAUGUAAUUAAAGAUUUUAAAAAGUAAACUUAGAAUUGUUAAAUAUGUACUUUGAAUAGUUUUCUGCAUACAUGCCUCGGCUAAAAAAAUGUUCCCUAUUAUAUUUUUCUGGUGAUCAGACUUGUUACAAGCUCCAGAAGAGUUGUUAAUACAUAUGUGGCUGUUGAAAUAAUUUUCACAAAUGCCUAGAACUUUAGGUCCUCAUUCUGAGUCUGAAUGAGGUUUGCAAUCAAGUUUUCUAAAUCCUGGCAGACUGUUGCAAAUUAAAAAGGACAGAUGGAAGUGUGUGAGCUCAAGCACAUGUGUGCUGCUAAGAAUGGGCAUGUGGUCAGGAAUUAUAGGAUAUUAGAAUGAGAGGAUAUACCACUAAACAGAAAGCCCUAGAUGGAAGGCAGGAAUAAAAACUCUGAAAAGAUGCAGAAUCAAAGUGCUAUGGCAGCACUGAGUCAAUUAACAUAGGAAGAAAUAAGAGUCAGGAAUGUCAAAGGUUCUUAAGAAUAAAUUAACAGUUUAACAAUAAACAGUUUAAUGACAGCUGAAGAGGAAACCAUUAUCAUUGGCAAACAGCAGCAGCUAAUAGUUGAGUGUUAACUAUGUGCCAGGUACCGAUGCAAGAUCUGUGCAGCAAACCCCAUGGUACACCUUUACCUAUGUAACAAACCUGCACAUCCUGCACAUGUAUCCUGGAACUUAAAAGUUGAAGGAAAAAAAAAAAAGUGGCACAUGAUGAACAUGUCAGGGGUGUGUGUGUGUGUGUGACUGGCACAUGAUGAACAUGUCAGGGGUGUGUGUGUGUGUGUGUGUUUUAAAUUAGGGACGGUUGGCUGGGAGCGGUGGCUCACGCGCACGCGCGCACGUGUGUGUGUGUGUGUGUGUGUGUGUGUGUGUGUGUGUGUGUGUGUGUUUUAAAUUAGGGACGGGGUUGGCUGGGAGUGGUGGCUCACGCCUGUAAUCUCAGCACUUUGUUUCAGUCUUAAGAGCUUAAAUUUGAUUUUUAAAUUAGAAAUUGACUAAUUGUUAUGUAUACACACAUACAUGCAGGAUCAACUGACCUCCCCAUCACUUUGGAUACAAAUGAAAAAGCAGUUCAUUUCACAUUGUAUGUACUUCUCAGUUUGUUCCAAGCAUGACACUUCUCAGCUAGGUGGCCUUUCUAAGUGGCCAAGAUGGUUUAUCUUAUGAGUGAGACAGAAGGUCAAUCUAUUUGCUUGUGAGGCUUUGCUAAGCUCU